UCUUAUGGAUGAGCCAAGAAAGUGGUUUCUUGAGAGGGAAUCCACUCUUAUUGAAGAUGCCAUGAA
rnacentral:pre_miRNA from 4 species